rnacentral:misc_RNA from 1 species
UUUCCGUAGGUGAACCUGCGGAAGGAUCAUUACUGUAUAACCAAUCUCCGAGGGCUGUCGCUGACCCGAAAUUAUUUUCACUUCCGACUUCCCUCACACACCUCCAUCACCCCCCUAUGUGCACCACCGCGUGGGUCCCCCUUUGCCUUGUUCGGAUGGGGUCUUACGGUUUCACACAAACUUUGUCUGCAGUGUAGGUUGUAUUUUCUGUUUUUGCGAUCACGCAAUCUACCCAACUUUCAACAACGGACCGCUUAGCUCUCGCACCGACGAAUAACC